AUAUGUUCACACAACGGUCUGUGAACAAGCCCCAUCCCGUCUGAUCUCGGAAGCUAAGCAGAGUUGGGCCUGGUUAGUACUUGGAUGGGAGACCACCUAGGAAGACCAGGUAGGUAUAAAUA
rnacentral:rRNA from 1 species